AUUGAACGCUGGCGGCAGGCCUAACACAUGCAAGUCGAACGAGUGGCGGACGGGUGAGAAUGUCUGGGAAACUGCCUGAUGGAGGGGGAUCACUACUGGAAACGGUAGCCAACACAGCAUACCAUCAGAUGUGCCCAGAUGGGCUUAGCUAGUUGGUGGGGUAACGGCUCACCAAGGCGACGAUCCCUAGCUGGUCUGAGAGGAUGACCAGCCACACUGGAACUGAGACACGGUCCAGACGCCUACGGGAGGCAGCAUUGGGGAAUAUUGCACAAUGGGCGCAAGCCUGAUGCAGCCAUGCCGCGUGUAUGAAGAAGGCCUUCGGGUUUUAAAGUACUUUCAGCGGUGAGGCGUUACCCGCAGAAGAAGCACCGGCUAACUCCGUGCCAGCAGCCGCGGUAAUAC
rnacentral:rRNA from 1 species